rnacentral:rRNA from 1 species
AAACGACUUGCAAGCAUGCUGACUCAUCGCAGUCGAACGGACUCUUCGGAGUUAGUGGCGGACGGGUGAGUAAAGCGUGAGAAUCUGCCUCUAGGUCGGGGACAACAGUUGGAAACGACUGCUAAUCCCGGAUGAGCCUGCGGGUAAAAGAUUAAUUGCCUAGAGAGGAGCUCGCGUCUGAUUAGCUAGUUGGUGAGGUAAAGGCUCACCAAGGCGACGAUCAGUAGCUGUUCUGAGAGGAAGAACAGCCACACUGGGACUGAGACACGGCCCAGACUCCUACGGGAGGCAGCAGUGGGGAAUUUUCCGCAAUGGGCGAAAGCCUGACGGAGCAAUACCGCGUGAGGGAAGAAGGCCUUUGGGUCGUAAACCUCUUUUCUCAGGGAAGAAGUUCUGACGGUACCUGAGGAAAAAGCCUCGGCUAACUCCGUGCCAGCAGCCGCGGUAAUACGGAGGAGGCAAGCGUUAUCCGGAAUUAUUGGGCGUAAAGCGUCCGUAGGUGGCCUUUCAAGUCUGCGGUUAAAAACCAGAGCUCAACUCUGGGGGGGCCGUGGAAACUGAGAAGCUAGAGUACAGUAGGGGUAGAGGGAAUUCCCAGUGUAGCGGUGAAAUGCGUAGAGAUUGGGAAGAACACCGGUGGCGAAAGCGCUCUACUGGGCUUGUACUGACACUGAGGGACGAAAGCUAGGGGAGCAAAAGGGAUUAGAUACCCCUGUAGUCCUAGCCGUAAACGAUGGAAACUAGGCGUAGCCUGUAUCAACUCAGGCUGUGCCGAAGCUAACGCGUUAAGUUUCCCGCCUGGGGAGUACGCACGCAAGUGUGAAACUCAAAGGAAUUGACGGGGGCCCGCACAAGCGGUGGAGUAUGUGGUUUAAUUCGAUGCAACGCGAAGAACCUUACCAGGGCUUGACAUCCCGCGAAUCCUGCCGAAAGGUGGGAGUGCCUAAGGGAACGCGGAGACAGGUGGUGCAUGGCUGUCGUCAGCUCGUGUCGUGAGAUGUUGGGUUAAGUCCCGCAACGAGCGCAACCCUCGUCCUUAGUUGCCAUCAUUAAGUUGGGAACUCUAGGGAGACUGCCGGGGACAACUCGGAGGAAGGUGGGGAUGACGUCAAGUCAGCAUGCCCCUUACGUCCUGGGCUACACACGUACUACAAUGGUUGAGACAAAGGGCAGCGAACUCGCAAGAGCCAGCGAAUCCCAGCAAACUCAGCCCCAGUUCAGAUUGCAGGCUGCAACUCGCCUGCAUGAAGUAGGAAUCGCUAGUAAUCGCCGGUCAGCAUACGGCGGUGAAUCCGUUCCCGGGCCUUGUACACACCGCCCGUCACACCAUGGAAGCUGGCAACAUCCGAAGUCGUUACUCCAACCGUUCGCGGAGGAGGGCGCCGAAGGUGGGGCUAGUGACUGGGGUGAAGUCGUAACAAGGUAGCCGUACCGGAAGGUGUGGCUGGAUCACCUCCUUU